rnacentral:rRNA from 1 species
CCCUUAGAUGUUCUGGGCCGCACGCGCGCUACACUGACGAAUGCAACGAGCUUAUAACCUUGGCCGAAAGGUCUGGGUAAUCUCCAAAUUUCGUCGUGAUGGGGAUAGAUUAUUGCAAGUAUUAAUCUUCAACGAGGAAUGCCUAGUAAGCGCAAGUCAUCAGCUUGCGUUGAUUACGUCCCUGCCCUUUGUACACACCGCCCGUCGCACCUACCGAUUGAAUGGUCCGGUGAGGACUCGGGAUUGUGGUUUAGCUCCUUCAUUGGGGCCUGACUGCGAGAACUUGUCCGAACCUUAUCAUUUAGAGGAAGGUGAAGUCGUAACA